CCUACGGGAGGCAGCAGUGGGGAAUAUUGCACAAUGGGGGAAAUUCUGAUGCAGCGACGCCGCGUGAGUGAAGAAGUAUUUCGGUAUGUAAAGCUCUAUCAGCAGGGAAGAAAAUGACGGUACCUGAUUAAGAAGCCCCGGCUAACACGGUGCCAGAAGCCGCGGUAAUACGUAGGGGGCCAGCGUUAUCCGGAUUUACUGGGUGUAAAGGGGGCGUAGACGGCAGCACAAGUCAGGAGUGAAAUGCCGGGGCUUAACCCCGGAAUUGCUUUGGAAACUGUGCAGCUAGAGUGCAGGAGAGGUAAGUGGAAUUCCUAGUGUAGCGGUGAAAUGCGUAGAUAUUAGGAGGAACACCAGUGGCGAAGGCGGCUUACUGGACUGUAACUGACGUUGAGGCUCGAAAGCGUGGGGAGCAAACAGGAUUAGAUACCCGAGUAGUC
rnacentral:rRNA from 1 species